GUUUCCGGUCCUUCUUUCCUUUGUAUUGUGAAGCCGAAGAACAUCUUUUCGCGGAGGUCUUGCCUCAUCUGCUAUCAUGAGGCGAGAACAGCAGAGUCAGCCGUACCGCGGUGCUGCUGCUGCUUUUCUUGGACAAUCUACCGAGUCGACCCCGCUGUCUGGAUGGGCCCAUGGUGAACGUUUGGCUGAACGAUACCAGCACCUUCAUAACGGAACCGUCUGCGGAUUGCUGCCUGCCUUUGGGUUGCCUGCAUCACAUUGCCUCGCCAACGCUGGAAGCCACUACGAUGUUCGUCGGGCAACAAGGGGCCACGUCACUUAUCUGGCCGCUUGAAAAAGGCGGGAUUCCUGCGGAUACCGUAUGCCACGACACUGCUGCUAUGCAUCCCUACUCACGCAGAACACUUGUACAGGUAAGAGGAGAUGCGACUAUACGCCUCGUGCACCGCCUAUAGAGGCGCCACUGAAAGCCAUCUAGCGGACGCUUCCAACAGUACACGCGGGAGCAAUAGCAGACGACAACCUUUUGCAGCAAGGGUGGCUGAAGUUCGCGGCUGCGAUUUCUCCUUUGUUCGGGUGCCAGGCUGCUUCUUCUGCGGUGACAGCUGUAGGGAAGAUUCUGACCUCUGUGCGAGCGGGUAUGAACAUGAUGUUACCGGUGUUUGGGACAACAUGGUCUACAUACGUGCAAGGUGUGUCCCGCAGACAAACGCCAUGAACCCCAUAUACAUGACGUGGAGCCCAUGUUCACUAGCCGAUAAAUUUUGUUGAGUGAUGCGAUCUCUCGAUGGUUUUUUUUUAUUCUACCCUUGCCGCAAUGCUGCUUCUGUACCUGAAUAAUAA